UACGGAGGGUGCAAGCGUUAUCCGGAUUUACUGGGUUUAAAGGGUGUGUAGGCGGGCUAUUAAGUCAGCGGUGAAAUCUCCGGGCUCAACCUGGAAACUGCCAUUGAUACUAUUAGUCUUGAAUUCUGUUGAGGUGGGCGGAAUAAAUCAUGUAGCGGUGAAAUGCAUAGAUAUGAUUUAGAACACCAAUUGCGAAGGCAGCUCGCUAAACAGAUAUUGACGCUGAGGCACGAAAGCGUGGGGAGCAAACAGG
rnacentral:rRNA from 1 species